CCGGCGCACGGGUGAGUAACACGUAUGCAACCUGGCCGUCACAGGUGGAUAGCCGGAAGAAAUUCCGACUAAUACAGCAUAACACUCCUGAGGGACAUCCUUCGGGAGUCAAAGGAGGCAACUCCGGUGACGGAUGGGCAUGCGGCGCAUUAGGUAGUUGGUAGGGUAACGGCCUACCAAGCCGACGAUGCGUAGGGGUUCUGAGAGGAAGGUCCCCCACAUUGGAACUGAGACACGGUCCAAACUCCUACGGAAGGCAGCAG
rnacentral:rRNA from 1 species